UUCCGGGCCAGCUCGGCUCCCCGCGGGGACCAGAGAUUCCUCGCAUUUCAGCUUGCCCCAGUUUUCUCAUUUCCCCCUUUGAUAAGGCUCUGAGUCCACAACCCUGAGAUUUUCACACCCUAGAUUUCAGUGUUGCUAAGUUUCUUCAGAGGUCUUUGGAACCUUCUCUAAUGAAGUAUGCAUGCAUAUUCUUUGAUGAAAAGUGAACCGUGAAAGAGAUGUUCUCAACACAACUAUCCAGAAUGCCAAAGGAGACCAUCCAGGACCACAACAAGACAGGGCUAGAACAACUUCAAGAACCCACUAAAUCACCGCAAUUGGGACAAUUAAUUUAAAGAUACAAAGGGCACCUGGUUAAGUUCACACACUACAGUGUGCAAAGACCUGGGUUCAAGCCCCAAGUCUCCACCUGUGUGGUGAUGCAGUAUACCAGCGACCAUGGAUGGAAGUCCCAGCACAGUGCUGACGUCAGCCUUGGCGACAGAAUAUGCAGUGAUCUGUGCUGGUGCAUGGUGGUGCUGUGGGUGGAUCCAGUCUGUGCUGGUGUACAAAGCGUUGUAGGUGGGCUGAAUAGACUUAAAAGUACAGCCAGCCAGAAGUCAUGCUCUCUUUGGCUGCUGCUACUUCUCCUGGUCAGAGGCAUCUCGACAGAGGUGUGCCAGGUAUCUGCCAUGGCUACUUUUCCUGGGAACUGAACACGUGCGACUCUGUUAGUCAGUAAACUUUUAGACCCCUCUACAGCCAUGAGCAACCUUUACCAGAGCUGAUAAUUGUUUAUCUUAUGGGACUAAACUUUUGAUAACUGUACUCAGACUUUAUGGACCUAGCAUACUCUUAACCCCUGAUGAUAAUUGCUUAUUUUGCCUUUUAUCUGUUUCACACUAAUAAACCUUGUACUGUUUAAACCAGA